GACGAACGCUGGCGGCGUGCUUAACACAUGCAAGUCGAACGGAAAGGCCCUGCUUUUGUGGGGUGCUCGAGUGGCGAACGGGGGAGUAACACGUGAGUAACCUGCCCUUAACUUUGGGAUAACUUCACGAAACUGGGGCUCAUACCGGAUAGGAGCUCCUGCUGCGUGGGGGGGGUUGGAAAGUUUCGGCGGUUGGGGCUGGACUGGCGGGUUAUGCGCUAGUUGGGGUGGUAGUGGAUGACCAAGGCUUAGACGGGUAGCCGGCCUGGGAGGGUGAACAGCCACAUUGGGCCUGAGAGACGGACCAGACUGCUACGGUCCGCAGUAGUGGAGAAUAUUGCACAGUGGGCGGACGCCUGUUGCAGCAACCUCGCGUGCGGAGUGCCGGGCUUCGGGUUGUAAACAGCUUUCGACUGUGACGAAGCGUGAGUGACGGUAAUGGGUAAAGAAGCACCGGCUAACUACGUG
rnacentral:rRNA from 1 species